CCUACGGGGGCAUCAUUUUUUUAUAUUUCCCACUGGGGGCCCCCCUGCUGCAGCGACGCCGCGUGAGUGAAGAAGUAUUUCGGUAUGUAAAGCUCUAUCAGCAGGGAAGAAAAUGACAGUACCUGACCAAGAAGCCCCGGCUAACUACGUGCCAGCAGCCGCGGUAAUACGUAGGGGGCAAGCGUUAUCCGGAUUUACUGGGUGUAAAGGGAGCGUAGACGGUGAUGUAAGUCUGGAGUGAAAGCCCGGGGCCCAACCCCGGGACUGCUUUGGAAACUGUGUAACUGGAGUACAGGAGGGGCAGGCGGAAUUCCUGGUGUAGCGGUGAAAUGCGUAGAUAUCAGGAGGAACACCGGCGGCGAAGGCGGCCUGCUGGACUGAAACUGACGUGGAGGCUCGAAAGCGUGGGGAGCAAACAGGAUUAGAUACCCCGGUAGUC
rnacentral:rRNA from 1 species